rnacentral:rRNA from 1 species
UACGUAGGCAGCGAGCGUUGUUCGGAGUUACUGGGCGUAAAGGGCGCGUAGGCGGCCGCCUAAGUCAGACGUGAAAUCCCUCGGCUCAACCGGGGAACUGCGUCUGAUACUGGGUGGCUUGAAUCCGGGAGAGGGAUGCGGAAUUCCAGGUGUAGCGGUGAAAUGCGUAGAUAUCUGGAGGAACACCGGUGGCGAAGGCGGCAUCCUGGACCGGCAUUGACGCUGAGGCGCGAAAGCCAGGGGAGCAAACGGG